rnacentral:pre_miRNA from 1 species
CAGGCCCCCCACUUAGUGUAUUUGACAAGCUGAGUUGGACACUCUGUAUCUCUGAGUGUCAGUUUGUCAAAUACCCCAAGUGAGG